UUGGUUAAAAUUCUUUAUAUAUAGACAUAACAAACAUAAAAGAGAGAAGUUUUUUUUCUUUUGGACACAGAGAUGUAUGUAACAAGGUUGCUUUCCCACAUCCAGAGAUCUCCGGAAUCUCUUUCAUUGCCACCAGAUGGCCCAAAUUCAGGUUACUUGGUGAUCCAAGACAAAGAAUCAAAGACUACUCCCUUUUUCGGAUUUUUGAAUGUGCAGGACCUGCCUUUGCCUCAGAACAAGAAGUUGCAUGUCAACUACUUCUCUGAUGAUGAAGAAACAACCUUUGUUCCAGUUGUUAAUAAGCCCUUGUCUUCCAAUCUCUAUUAUGCAUUAAAGCCUCAUGGGUCUCGCAAAGGACUAGACAGACUGACAGAGGCGACGAUCUUGACGAGAGUCUGAGCCGACGAACAGAGAGGCGACGGAGGCAAGGCAAGGCGAGGAGAGGCGACAAACGGAGAGGCGACAGAGGCAAGGCGAAGACAGGCUGCGGUGAGGCGACUAGAGCGACAAGAGACUAAUAGAGAGAGUCGGUGAAAGACGAAGAAAGAGGAUGACGAGGUCCGUUUCUCUCCCUUUGGUCUUCAUUAUAGAUUAAGAUCCUUACAUCUGCUUUGUGAAUGUGAUCCCUACGUGGUGAAUUUGUGUAAAGACCAGCCAUAUUCUGAAUUUGUGUACAAAAAUGAUAGAAUCUGAUCCCUACAUUUGUUUUUAGUUUUGUAUCAUUUUUAGUUUUUCGGUUUUUGGUUCACAUGUUUUCAAAAAUAGACCCCAAAAAAAUCAUUUUCAUUAUUGUGCAAAUAUAUAUAUAUAUAUAUAUAUGUAAUUAUAUAGUGAUUAUUCUUUAUUAUCAUUAAAAAAGAUUAUUGAACACCCAUGAAUGUACUUAUAAAAUUUUGUGAACCUUACCUCUAUUUUUUUCACUAUUUUGUUAGCAUUUUGGAUUUGAUAGAAUGUGAUCCUUAAUUCCACAACACAUAUCUAUAAAUCUGAAUAAUUCCAAAUUGGUUGAUUACAAAUCUAUAAAUCUAAACACACCUCUCUCUAAGGCAUCCACAAGCCUCAUCACUAUGAGCACAUUGAGUAGUCUUCAUAUUAAGCAUGUUUAUAAGAGUUUCUGAAGUAACAGAGUGAGAGAUGCAAGCUCUGUUUAGUUUCCAUGGCAUUUUUGUUGAGCUCUUUAGUGCAAAGCAUUUGUAAGAAUUGCUUAUUGAGUUCUCUGAACCUCCUUAAUUUGUAAAAUGGAGACCAUGCAAAAUUGAGAGCCCCUUGGGUCUCUGCAUUUCCUAAAUUUUUUAUUUGUUAAUUUUUAAAUGUACCAUAGAAACUUUUAGUUGUUGUAUUGUUUCCAUGUACAACUAACUAUAGUGGCUACUAUUCAUGUUUUAGCAAUGAACUUAUGGUUACUUUCGUCUUUUUGGGUGCUUGCAAAGAGUUGUUUUGUGCAAUUAGUGUUUUUAUGGUUUUAUAGUCUAUGAAAUCUUUGUUAUCAGAUUUGUGUUUAAUGAUCUUCUAGUCAACUCUUUACUGCUUGAUGCUUUGCCUAGAUUUGUUGCUCAAACUCUUUGCUGCUUGAUGCAGUUAGUGUUUAAUGAUCUUCUAGUCAACUUUUUGUUGCUUGAUGCUUUGCCUAGAUUUGUGAUUGACUUAUUCAUCUUUUUCAUUCUCGUAGUUUCUUUUAGUUUUUAUUAGUUGCUUUGCAAUAUUCUGUUUUCAAUUUCCAGUGAGAAGCAGCCUAUAAAUCAUUAAAAUGACCCUCAUGACCUCCAAUUUAACUCGAAAGCCCUUCAAUCUAUCUGUUUCCUAAGCACUUGUAGUCUGAUAUAUAGUAUACCCUAACAGCAAUAUCGUAGUGUAUGCAAAAUCCUUAUCAUUUUGUUUUCAUUUACAAUAUUAGUUUUUUUAUUCAUAUUCUAAUUGAACAUCUUCGUUUACUUUGGCUUUAUA